AUGCAAGUCUGCUCCUACUCCUAUUUCUGCUUCCAUUGAAAACAUCACUUGUCUCAACUCUUCAAUUUUUUUUAUAGAAAUGCAGAAAGAAAAAAAAAAAUUAACUAAUAUUUGCCAAGUAUAGUACUUAAAAUACUACCUGCAGCAUGGAAAGUUAUUUAACACUUCUCCUACAGAAAAACCCUUCUGGGAACCACUCUCUUAGCAGUCAAGAGACAAAACAGCCUUUAUAAAAUUUUCUGAUUCCAAUUUAAAACCAGAAAUCUGUUUACUGGGAGCAGAAAAAUGGUCACUUAUAAUGUAGAUUUUUUCUCCCCUAUUGCCUAUGCAUUUCCAUACCAAAUGACUAGUCCAGUAUUGUAGAAAUUAUGGUGCUUGGCCCAAGGGGCCAGUGAUAUCUUCAAUCCAGUUGCCUUUCUUGGAUAACUGAGGCUGCAUGAAAGCAGUCAGGAUUUGGGGAAUGCCUAAGAAGAUAAGGGAAGAGAAUUUGGUUAUGGAAGCAGAUAAAGCCAGAGGUACUAAACCCAAAUUAUUUGAUUCCAAAUCCGUUUCCUUUGUGAAAGGUGGUCUAAUUUUGUCGACCUCUUCCUAAAAGACAGGGUUUGUGCUUAUUUGUUGGUGUAAGUAUUAAAACACGUUAUACAAGUAUCUUUUAUUCUCCUCUUGGUUCUUAAAAAAACUCAAUUCUAUUUAACUUUACAAAUUGAAACCACUCUAGCUUAACACACACUUAUUCAACUUAUAAUACAUAAAAAAAAAAGAAGAAUUAGUGCUUUAUGAUUGCAUAAUAUGCUUAGAUGAUUAUUGGUUAUGGUAUGAUAAGUCUUUGAGAUGUGCAGAAGUUGUAUUUACCUAGAAAUUUGAUUGAAAUGCAUGAACUGUCAUUUAGUGUUUUGUUGAAACACUUGGAAUUUAUAGGUACAUACAGAAAAAUGACCAAAACAUGGUGUGUGUAGUUAACCUAGGUUUAUUGGGAAAAGGAGUUUUAACUGCUGUUAAUAAAUUGCCAGGCCUCUUAUUUGAUCGCUAUUAUUCUUAGGACAAGCAGAGAUUCCCACAAAUACAAGUGGCAGACUAAUGAAAUUUUCAGCACUCCUGCUGAAAUUCUGAAUCCUACUUGUAUUUUCUAAGUAUCUUCUGGUGAGAUUUUCAAAUGUAGAUAUUCUUAAAAUUUUAAAAACUAAUAUCUCUGAAUCUCUCCUACUUCUUUUCUGUGCAUAGACAAAAGGAGGAAAAUGAGCUUUCCUACUUUCUGAGAUCCAAGUGUUCUCCAGUUUUGCAUUCACUUGUUAAGAUGCUUUUUCCAGAGCAUAGGAAAAUGUUUUCACACUUUGGAGGUGUCCCAGGAAAAUAAUUUUGAAUUAAUGUAACACUUUUUUUUCUUUUCAUGUGGUACUAUUUUAAAUAACAGAUACUGCUAUUUAUAGCCAGCAGCAGUGUCAGAGGUCAAACAUUUAGGGUGGGAUCUAUUUUAUCCAACUUUACUAAUGUAGGAGUUAGGUGUGUCAUUUCAAUCAGUCAUUGAGGCUGCUUCUACAGAUAAAUUGGGGAGGGGAGGGAGGCAGUUCUGCAGGUAAUUUAUUCGAGAUACUCAUCCUGCUAUCUAAAUCUCUUGGUCUUUGAAGGUGCCUAUCUCUGUAUUGAUUUAGGAUGGAGUCUGGAUGACUAGCUCUGAUUGGGGAGCAGACUUUUGGAUGGCUACAGUUCAGAUGGGUUCCCUCACAGCUGGCAGAAUAAAAUCUCAAAGUAUUUGUGAUAAGGAUACCAAAGGAGGGAAUAUUCUGUAGCCUUCAUAGAAAUUCCUGACAGAGAAGCACCAGUGGAAGAACCAGUUGCAUAUGGCAUUGUUUCAGUAGAAAUUACCAUUUCUAUAACCCAGACACUGCUGCCCACAUGUACUUUCUUUCCCUACUAGAAAAUUAAGCAAGUCAGAGAGAAAGAAGUUAAGACUUGAAGCAGGUUAACUUUACCUAGAAGUGCAGUUAAGUGUGCUCCAAGAGCAGGUCAGCAGAAACUCUUCUUGCCUUCCAAACCAGGAGAUCAGAAGAGCAUGUUGACAUACCUCAGUGCCAAUGACCUGGCUAAGGUGAAACAAAUCCUGAAGUGAUUAAUGUUUUUUUCCUGGUCUGUUUGCCUGAGCUCUGUAAUUGAAAAUUGCUAAAGCAGGUCAUUUGAAGUAUGUGUGGUAUCUUAGGAACUAUAACUUAGUGAUCAUAUAUUUGCAUUACAAAUGCUCUUAUUGCUCUUAUUGCUCCUUACUUGGCAUAAAUUUUCAAUCUGAACUGCUUAUUAAGUAUACCACAACUCACCCACCCUGUAAUUACCACUAGCCUAAUAUCUGUUCACUUAAGUGAACAUUUUCUUCUAGCUUUUAUUCUCCAUUCCCUUCUUUUGGAUGAUUUUUAUUUUAUGUAAAAAAUCUAGUAGUGAGUUCUUCCAAUUUCUCAUUCAUUUUUCUGUGGUAAGGAAACAGAAAAACCUAUAUAGAAAUUAUUAAAGAAAUCAGGAAAAUCAGAUCAAGCAAAGGUGAAAUAAAGAAAACUGUGGAAGGUGGAAUAUAUAUCAAAAAUACAUGAACAGAUGUCACCUUUUCAAAUUCAGUGAUACUAAACCUGCCUUCCUUAAAAAAAGCUCUCAGAGAAAUAAGACUGACGAUUUUACUCAAUAGCUACAAGUAUUAAGCAUAAGUAUAAAUUUAGAAGAAAUUAAAGGCAACAGUGUUUGGAAUGUUUACCAUUAGCAGGUGAGGUUAUCAAGUUCCUGAGUGCUUGAAUACAAAACAUUUAAGCUAUGGCCAUAUACUGCAGUCAGGAGAUUGAAAAGCAAAACUUUAAUCAAGCUGAAAGAUUUAAGAUGUUUCAGCGAAGUAGUUAAAAAGAUGUACGUAAGCAUUAAGUCAUUAAAAUGACUUAAGCCUCUUAAUCUUCUCAAAGGCAGAUUAGGCUAAAUUUAAACAAAACAUGACAUGAAGUCUAGUUUUGGUUUUACACAUAUGUAUCCUUAGUACAGAAUUCAAUAUGUGCAGUUCUGGACACUGAUUUUCAUAAGAUAGUAUAUCUACAGUCUCCAAAAUACACUUGCUAUGGAGUUCUAAUAGCUAUCUACAAAAACCAUUAAUAACCCAUCCUAAUAAUACAAAUAUUACUUCUACACUUUCAGGAAAAAGGAAAACUCUUGGAAGCCAGUUAAAUGUUUGUGCUCAUACCAACUGCUGCCAGUGCCUGAUGUCACUAUUCCCUUUAAAUUCUGAGGUUUUCAAAAGCUCCAAUGGCAAAUGAAAGCCCAUGUCAUAACAAUUUUCCUAUACAAUAUAGGCAUGUUAUUACUUAUUCCUUUGCAAAACUUGGGACUAAAGGAAAGCCUUUCAGAAUAACUCCUUAACUCUACUGAAUAUGAAGAACAAAAAAUAGUUGUGAAUUAUGCACUUUUAAAAAAAAUCUGUAAAUGUUUUGCAUGGUGUUUUCAUAACUGUAUCUUCUGCUUUUAUAAACCUUGCAGAACUAAGAACUCUUUAAAAAUGUAAGGUUUAAAAUAUAAUUUUUGGUACCCUUGAUUACUGCACCACAAGAUAAAAAGCUGGGGAUUAAGACCUCAUACUUGGCAUCCUGUACUUUAAAAAUGUAAUUUUUAAAGUAAAUAGCCAAAAAAGCUAUUAUUACGGGGGGGGAGGGAAGGAAUCUAAUUCUAUUAAUAAGUUUAAAGAUUUGGUCCCUUUUAAAGUACUGUAGAAAAAGUUUAACAUGGAACUUAGAACUGUAGAAGCUUAUUUUAAAAUUAGAUUAGCACUGCACUCGCAUAUAUUGUCCAACAUCUUUAAUUACUUCUUUCUCAAUGGAUUUAUUCUUUUUCCAAUUACAGCAGAUGGACCAGGUAGGGUUCUAGCAUUCAUGUCCCUAUGGUUGUAACUUUCUUCAUUUGCAGUAGAGAUGAUGAACCACCAAAUUCAUAUUCCAAGAAGAGAAGAGAUCUUUAAUGAUGGCCAGAA